rnacentral:rRNA from 1 species
CCUACGGGUGGCAGCAGUGGGGAAUAUUGCUCAAUGGGGGAAACCCUGAUGCAGCGACGCCGCGUGAGUGAAGAAGUAAUUCGGUAUGUAAAGCUCUAUCAGCAGGGAAGAAAAUGACGGUAUCUAACAAAUAAGCCCCGGCUAACUACGUGCCAGCAGCCGCGGUAAUACGUAGGGGGCAGGCGUUACCCGGAUUUACUGGGCGUAAAGGGAGCGUAGACGGGAGGGCAAGUCAGAUGGGAAAGGCGGGGGCUCAACCCCCGGACUGCUGUGGAAACUGUACGGCUGGAGUGCAGGAGAGGUAAGUGGAAUUCCUAGUGUAGCGGUGAAAUGCGUAGAGAUCAGGAGGAACACUAGUGGCGAAGGCGGCUUACUGGACUGUAACUGACGUUGAGGCUCGAAAGCGUGGGGAGCAAACAGGAUUAGAUACCCCUGUAGUC